ACGCGAAUAGCUCAACUGGUAAGAGCGUGAGAUUGGAAUCUCAAGGCUCCGGGUUCAAGUCCCGGUUUGCUAA